UACGGAGGGGGCUAGCGUUGUUCGGAAUUACUGGGCGUAAAGCGCGUGUAGGCGGACCUGCAAGUCGGGGGUGAAAGCCCGAGGCUCAACCUCGGAACUGCCUUCGAUACUGCGGGUCUCGAGUCCGGGAGAGGUGAGUGGAAUUCCUAGUGUAGAGGUGAAAUUCGUAGAUAUCGAGAGGAACACCGGUGGCGAAGGCGGCCAACUGGACAGAUACUGACGCUGAGACACGAAAGCGUGGGGAGCAAACAGG
rnacentral:rRNA from 1 species